rnacentral:rRNA from 1 species
UACAGAGGUCUCGAGCGUUAGGCGGAAUCACUGGGCUUAAAGCGUGUGUAGGUGGAUCGGUAAGUACCUUGUGAAAUCCCCACAGCUUAACUGUGGAACUGCUUGGUAUACUGCCCAGUCUUGAGCCAGCUAGGGGGCUACCGGAACAAAUGGUGGAGCGGUGAAAUGCGUAGAUAUCAUUUGGAACGCCAAUGUGAAAAACAGGGUACUGGGGGCUGUGCUGACAUGAGACACGAAAGCCAGGGGGAGCGAACGGGG